UACGUAGGGUGCGAGCGUUAAUCGGAAUUACUGGGCGUAAAGCGUGCGCAGGCGGUUUUGUAAGCCAGAUGUGAAAUCCCCGGGCUCAACCUGGGAAUGGCAUUUGGGACUGCAAGGCUCGAGUGCGGCAGAGGAGACUGGAAUUCCUGGUGUAGCAGUGAAAUGCGUAGAUAUCAGGAGGAAUACCGAUGGCGAGGGCAGGUCUCUGGGCAUUAACUGACGCUGAGGAGCGAAAGCAUGGGGAGCGAACAGG
rnacentral:rRNA from 1 species